AAUUACUGGGCGUAAAAGCGCAUGCAGGUGGUUUGUUAAGUCAGAUGUGAAAGCCCGGGGCUCAACCUCGGAAUUGCAUUUGAAACUGGCAAACUAGAGUACUGUAGAGGGGGUAGGAAUUUCUAGGUGUAGCGGUGAAAUAGCGUAGAGAUCUGAAGGAAUACCGGUGGCGAAGGCGGCCCCCUGGACCAGAUACUGACACUCAGAUGCGAAAGACGUGGGGAGGCAAACAAGGAUUAGAUACCCUCGGUAG
rnacentral:rRNA from 1 species